ACCCAACUGACGAGUCUUAAAUAGGAUGAAACGCGCAUCUUGGAC
rfam:Schistosoma curassoni strain Dakar, Senegal genome assembly, scaffold: SCTD_contig0002705